rnacentral:rRNA from 1 species
UACAGAGGGGCAAGCGUUUAUUCGGAAUCAUUGGGCGUAAAGCGCGCGCAGGCGGUCCUUUAAGUCUGAUGUGAAAGCCCACGGCUCAACCGUGGAGGGUCAUUGGAAACUGGGGGACUUGAGUACAGAAGAGGAAAGUGGAAUUCCACGUGUAGCGGUGAAAUGCGUAGAGAUGUGGAGGAACACCAGUGGCGAAGGCGACUUUCUGGUCUGUAACUGACGCUGAGGCGCGAAAGCGUGGGGAGCAAACAGGA